UCCCCAAUAGCUCAGUCGGUAGAGCGCGUGACUGUUAAUCACGAUGUCGUUGGUUCGAGUCCAACUUGGGGAGCCA
rnacentral:tRNA from 1 species